AAAACCAGCCCAACAUUAAUGUGAGAUGGUACAAUUAAAGAGGAUGAAUAGCAAGAAGUUGAAAACUUAUGUCCGCAUAAAAACUUACACAUGGAUAUUAUAGCAGCUUUAUCAAGAUUACUAGAAAUUGGAAGCAACACAUGUCCUGCAGUAGACCAGAAAAUAGCAUCAUAGUUCCUGGAUAAAACUGACAAAGUAGGCAUCUCAGAAUGGAGCUUAUGUCUUCAACUACAUAGUUAACAAAUGCUGGCACUUUGAUAUCCCUGAAGAUAUAAUUAACAGCACAAACACUGUUAUGUGGAUCCUGAUUUACUAAUAGUUUUCUAAAAAUCCAUAAGGUAUAUCACUAUCCAUAACAAUCAGAACAGCUACCAACAAAAGUUGCUAAACCUCUCAAUGAUCAGUGGGUAAAACUUGCUCAAAUGCUCAUGUGCGAUCAUCACAUUUACCUCAAAAGUUCAUAUGGUUACUGUCAUAGAGAACAAGCUCCCAUUAAUCUAAAAUCACCUAAAAAUAGACAGAAAUCCAUUCUAGUUAAAAACAACAUACUCCCAUCUAUUUCCCCAGGCAGCCAAUUUGGCAUCAGAAAAUAUCCAUCAAAAUAUAAAACCUUUGUUCUUUUUUUUCCCCCUCACAAUCAAAAUAGAAAAAAGAGUACAGGUCACUGUUCAAAUAAUUUAUGUGAAAGUCUUUAUUGAUCAAAGCUUUGGUUUUAGUGAUUAAAUGAUUCUAAAUAAACUAGGCAUUAUUUCAAAAGGCAAUUAUUUUAAAUUUCCUUCACUUUGUUUUUUAAUUCACGCUGGAAAACUAAAUACAUUCACUUAUACAAUAUAUUUCUGUUGUCUAUAGUUUUAUUGUGAUUUAUCUAACUAAUAUUCUUUUUCUUUUUUUAAGAUUCUAUUUAUUUACUCAUGAGAGACACAGAGAGAGAGAGAGAGAGAGGCAGAGACACAG